UACGAAGGGUGCAGACGUUGCUCGGAAUUAUUGGGCGUAAAGGGUAGGUAGGUGGUCUCAUUUGUCUGGGGUGAAAGCCUUGGGCUUAACUCAAGAAGUGCCCCGGAAACGGUGAGACUGGAGUCCUGGAGAGGGUCGUGGAAUUCCCGGUGUAGCGGUGAAAUGCGUAGAGAUCGGGAGGAACACCAGAGGCGAAGGCGGCGACCUGGACAGGCACUGACACUCAACUACGAAAGCGUGGGGAGCAAACAGG
rnacentral:rRNA from 1 species